rnacentral:rRNA from 1 species
AUGAAAUGGCUUAUUUUACAGAAAAUGCCAAGUUACCCUCCUGAGAAGCAAGCUCGAAUCAUCAUUGCAUGCAUGACACUUCAUAAUUGCAUUAGAGAAAGCAAUUUGAGAGACUUGGAGUUUGACAAAUGUGAUCGUGAUGAGAACUACAUGCCAGGGAAUUUACAACCCCGGCCCUACCCACGCGACAUGUGUCCCAUAUUGUGGUUGGUGAUGAUGCGACCAUGA